rnacentral:rRNA from 1 species
UGGGGAAUAUUGGACAAUGGGCGAAAGCCUGAUCCAGCCAUGCCGCGUGUGUGAAGAAGGUCUUCGGAUUGUAAAGCACUUUAAGUUGGGAGGAAGGGCAUUAACCUAAUACGUUAGUGUUUUGACGUUACCGACAGAAUAAGCACCGGCUAACUCUGUGCCAGCAGCCGCGGUAAUACAGAGGGUGCAAGCGUUAAUCGGAAUUACUGGGCGUAAAGCGCGCGUAGGUGGUUUGUUAAGGUGGAUGUGAAAUCCCCGGGCUCAACCUGGGAACUGCAUUCAAAACUGACUGACUAGAGUAUGGUAGAGGGUGGUGGAAUUUCCUGUGUAGCGGUGAAAUGCGUAGAUAUAGGAAGGAACACCAGUGGCGAAGGCGACCACCUGGACUAAUACUGACACUGAGGUGCGAAAGCGUGGGGAGCAAACA